GGGGAAAGCAAGGGCCCGUUAUGUACUUGCCGGGCCCUCCAAACUCUGCAGAGCCAGCAAUGGCUCCUGCUAUGGCAAUAGCAGGCCCCCGCCCCCGCCCCCGCUGUACUCUUCUUUGCCAGGGAGCACCACUCAUAGUGGGAAUGCAUAUAACCCUGGAGGGUGACUGUUCCCACUCAGAGCGUGCCUGUUGGAGAAAGAGGUUUUGCUCGGGUCUGUGUUUUUUAAAACUGUUGACUUGUAUAACUGGAAAUCCCAUAGUAAGGGCUUACGGGUGAGCCCACAAGAGUUCAUAACUCGCAUAUGGAGAAUAUUCUCCACACAUAACCCUACCUGGCCAGGUGUGCAGACCUUAACAGCAACCCUGCUCACAGCAGAAGAUAAAUCUGCCACCAUGGCCAAAACUGAGGAGGAGGCAGACAAUAUGUGUGCUGAUAACCUGGUGACCUGUCCUGUUGAGGUGUUGGUCCCAAUAGCUAACCCAAACUGGGACCCCAAUGAUGACAAGAAUCAAGAGUGGCUUCAUCAUUAUAGGAAUAUGCUUCUCAGAGGUAUGAGGGAAGCAAGCCAGCCCCUGGUCAAUUGGGGAAAUCUCAGAGAAACAGAACAAGGCCCUAAUGAAAAUCAGCAUUCCUAAAUUGAUAAUAAGAAUGCCUCCAGAAUUACAGCCCUUGGGACCCAAAUGACCCAAAAGCCGAGUAGUACUUUAAUCCCACUUCAUCUCUCAGCCCCAGAUAUUCAGAGAAAACUCUAAAAAUUGGCAAUAAGUCCACACACUCCCCCUUUCCAACUGGUAGACAUCUCCUUUAAGGUCUACAGUAAAGAGAUGUGGCAUCUGAUGAAAAAGAGGACAAGAAGAUGCAGCAGCCCUACAGACUACUUCAGGAAAACCAGGAAGAAGAUGGCAUGAGUGAGUGACCAGGGCCCCCGCCAUGGAAAUCAGGGCCUGCCUACACUGAGGCCCAAACAAUGUGCUUACUGGAAGCAGAAAGGAUGCUGGGAAAGGGAAUGUCCAAAUCAUCUCCAGAGAGGGAAGAAAGAGGACAAGCCUGAGGUACCAGUUCCCUGUAACUGGACAAGAAACUGAUGGAUGGGGCCAUGGGGCUCCCUGCCUGGCUCCUCAAAACAAGAUCCACAUCUCCCCUCCAGGUUACACAGAAUAAGGGGGGCAGCCAGUUGGGUUGUUAAAUUUUUUUUAUUUUUUUGAGACAGAGUCUGUUACCCAGGCUGGAGUGCAGCACCGUGAUCAUGGCAUACUGCAGCCUCCAACUAGGCUCAAGCAGUCCUCCUACCUUAGCCUCUCAAGUAGCUGGGACUAAGGCACACCUGGCUAAUUCUUUUUGUUUGUAGAGACAAGGUCUCGUUAUGCUGUCAGGGCUGGUCUUGAACUCCCGGGCUCAAAUGAUCCUCCAACCUUGGCCUCCUGAAGUGUUAGCAUUACAGGCAUGAGCCACUGUACCCGGCCACCAGCUAAGUUUUUGAUCAACACUGUAGCCAUGUUUUCUGUGUUGAUCACUAAAAGUGGACCCUAUCCAGGAGGGAAUGUAUAUAAGGGAUAUGUCUCAUAAAGGAAAUAAAAGAUUCUUGGAGCCUCUGGUCCAUGAAAUGGUAUCUAAAA